UUUUAUUAUAUUAUUAAUUUGUUUUGCAAGUUGUUUAAUUAUUUUUGGCAACAUGUUAACAAAAAUAUUUUAUCGAAAUAAACAUGUAGAUGGUAUCAUUUAGGUGUGCGAUCUGUUUUUGUGUGUGGAAUGCUUGGGUUAUAUUUUUGUUAUUUAAUGUACAUUGUUUUUUUUUUUUGUUUUUUGUUUUUUUGGUGGGUUUUCUAUAAUGCGAUCAUUAAUUGAUUUGCAGUCGCGCGAUAAAUGUCGUUGUGCAUUUGAUAUGGUUAGUUUGAAGUUUACUUUUAGAUAGUUUAAUUCCUUUGCAUUGGCAACGUUCCAUAUGCAAUAAUAUAGUAGUAGUUGUAGUAGUUAGUAGUAGUAGUUAGUAGUAGUAUUAGUAGUAGUAGUACACUGUGUAUAAUAUUGUUGUGGUUGGGCUGUAUUAGACGGUAAGCAUGUGGAAUGUAUUGGGCGGUUGGCUGUCUGUCUAUCUGUCUGCUUCGACAGCAAGUGAAUGGACGACUCUAUGAGUAGUGAACUACGAAAUACAGAUAUAUAAGUACAUACACAUAUAAUGCUAUCAAAGUCAAGGAUCUUAUCGUAUUGCAUUUAUGCAGCGCCUGCUGCUUCAUAAACCAAUUGAAUUUCAAUAUCUUCUCGAUCAUAUUUAGUUGUUUUAUUGUUUACAAAAUUUGUAAAUGCAUAUGCUUUUGAUUUACAUUCACGUGUAAAUGUUGUUGUUCUUUACAAAAUGUGGGCUUUUAUAUAUUCUUCUUGUCUUUUGA